UACGUAGGUGACAAGCGUUGUCCGGAUUUACUGGGCGUAAAGAGCGCGCAGGCGGUCGAUCAAGUCGAGUGUGAAAGCCCCCGGCUCAACUGGGGAGGGUCAUUCGAUACUGAUCGACUCGAAGGCAGGAGAGGGUAGUGGAAUUCCCGGUGUAGUGGUGAAAUGCGUAGAUAUCUGGAGGAACACCGGUGGCGAAGGCGGCGUUCUGGACUGCAACUGACACUGAGGAACGAAAGCCAGGGGAGCAAACGGG
rnacentral:rRNA from 1 species